UACGAGAGGUGCAAGCGUUAUUCGGAAUUAUUGGGCGUAAAGGGUGCGUAGACGGUAUUUUAAGUCAACUGUUAAAUUCCCCGGCCUAACUGGGGGCAAGCGGUAGAUACUAUUAUGCUAGAGGAUGGAAGAGAGAAGUGGAAUUCUCGGAGUAGCGGUAAAAUGCGUAGAUCUCGAGAGGAACACCGAUGGCGAAGGCAGCUUCUUGGUCCAUUCCUGACGUUGAGGCACGAAAGCGUGGGGAGCAAACAGG
rnacentral:rRNA from 1 species